rnacentral:rRNA from 1 species
GACGAACGCUGGCGGCGUGCUUAACACAUGCAAGUCGAGCGGUAAGGCCCUUUCGGGGUACGACGAGCGGCGAACGGGUGAGUAACACGUGGGUGACCUGCCCUCAGCUCUGGGAUAAGCCUGGGAAACCGGGUCUAAUACUGGAUAUGACUCCAUGACGCAUGUUGUGGGGUGGAAAGCCUUGUGCGGCUGAGGAUGGGCCCGCGGCCUAUCAGCUUGUUGGUGGGGUGAGGCCUACCAAGGCGACGACGGGUAGCCGGCCUGAGAGGGCGACCGGCCACACUGGGACUGAGACACGGGCCCAGACUCCUACGGGAGGCAGCAGUGGGGAAUCUUGCGCAAUGGGCGAAAGCCUGACGCAGCGACGCCGCGUGAGGGAUGACGGCCUCGGUGUAAC